GGAAUGGUGUCUGAGCGGUUGAAAGAGCUCGAUUGCUAAUCGAGUGUACAGCUUACGCUGUACCGAGGGUUCAAAUCCCUCCCAUUCCG
rnacentral:tRNA from 1 species